CUACGGGGCGCUGCAGUGAGGAAUAUUGCACAAUGGGGGGAACCCUGAUGCAGCAACGCCGCGUGGAGGAUGACGCAUUUCGGUGUGUAAACUCCUUUUAUAUGUCAAGAAAAUGACGGUAGCAUAUGAAUAAGCACCGGCUAACUCCGUGCCAGCAGCCGCGGUAAUACGGAGGGUGCAAGCGUUACUCGGAAUCACUGGGCGUAAAGGACGCGUAGGCGGGUUGGAAAGUCAGGUGUGAAAUCCUACAGCUUAACUGUAGAACUGCACUUGAAACUUCUAAUCUAGAGUAUGGGAGGGGGAGAUGGAAUUAGUGGUGUAGGGGUAAAAUCCGUAGAUAUCACUAGGAAUACCUAAAGCGAAGGCGAUCUCCUGGAACAUUACUGACGCUAAGGCGUGAAAGCAUGGGGAGCAAACAGGAUUAAAUACCCCUGUAGUC
rnacentral:rRNA from 1 species